UACGUAGGGGGCAAGCGUUGUCCGGAGUUACUGGGCGUAAAGCGCACGCAGGCGGUCUGUUAAGUUUGGAGUGACAGUUGGUGGCUUAACUGCCAAAGUGCUUUGAAAACUGACAGACUUGAGGGCUUCAGAGGGACACGGAAUUCCGGGUGGAGUGGUGAAAUGCGUAGAGAUCCGGAGGAACACCAAAGGCGAAGGCAGUGUCCUGGGGAGUACCUGACG
rnacentral:rRNA from 1 species